rnacentral:rRNA from 1 species
UACGAAGGGGGCUAGCGUUGUUCGGAAUCACUGGGCGUAAAGCGCACGUAGGCGGCUUGUUAAGUCAGAGGUGAAAGCCUGGAGCUCAACUCCAGAACUGCCUUUGAUACUGGCAAGCUCGAGUAUGGCAGAGGUUGGUGGAACUCCGAGUGUAGAGGUGAAAUUCGUAGAUAUUCGGAAGAACACCAGUGGCGAAGGCGGCCAACUGGGCCAUGACUGACGCUGAGGUGCGAAAGCGUGGGGAGCAAACAGG